GAUGAACGCUGGCGGCGUGCCUAAUACAUGCAAGUCGAGCGAACAGAUGAGGAGCUUGCUCCUCUGACGUUAGCGGCGGACGGGUGAGUAACACGUGGAUAACCUACCUAUAAGACUGGGAUAACUUCGGGAAACCGGAGCUAAUACCGGAUAAUAUAUUGAACCGCAUGGUUCAAUAGUGAAAGACGGUUUUGCUGUCACUGAUAGAUGGAUCUGCGCCGCAUUAGCUAGUUGGUAAGGUAACGGCUUACCAAGGCAACGAUGCGUAGCCGACCUGAGAGGGUGAUCGGCCACACUAGAACUGAGACACGGUCCAGACUCCUACGAGAGGCAGCAGUAGGGAAUCUUCCGCAAUGGGCGAAAGCCUGCCGGAGCAACGCCGCGUGAGUGAUGAAGGUCUUCGGAUCGUAAAACUCUGUUAUUAGGGAAGAACAAAUGUGUAAGUAACUAUGCACGUCUUGACGGUACCUAAUCAGAAAGCCACGGCUAACUACGUG
rnacentral:rRNA from 1 species